rnacentral:rRNA from 1 species
UAAAAUUUAUAAAAUUAGGUAAUAAAGAAAUUUCUGAAACCUAAAGAAUUUGGCGGUAUUUUAAAUAAUUGGAGGAACCUGUUAUUUAAUUGACAACCCACAACAUAUCUUACCUAAAUUUUAUUUGUAUAUCGUCGUUUUGAUAAUAUUAAAAAAUUAUAAUCAAUGCUAAAAAUUUUUCAAAAAUCAGAUCAAGGUGCAGUAUAUUUAGGGUAUAAUGGGUUACAAUAUAAUUAUAUAAAAUGGAUAUAAAAUUGAAAUUAUAUUGAAAGUGGAUUCAAAAGUAAUAUUAAAUUAAAAUGUUAAUAUGAUUAAAAAUUUAAAAUAUGC